GCUGGCGCUUGCAGCUGGAUCUGCGCAAGUGAAGUCGGUGACGUGGAAGCAGGCUGAGCAGACUUUUCUGUGCUGAGGUGUACGCUUAGCACGCUUUUUUUUUUCUUUAAGCGAAACGAAGUAGGAGACGUCAACCUUUUUCCCCGGGCGUGCAGAUGUCACCGCGCUGGGCGGUUAACGCAUUGCGUUCAAAACUUGCAGAAGGCGGACAAAUCGCGUGUGUGUUUCGUGAACGGUUCGUCAUAACCACAAGGAACUCGAGUCCGCUCCGCCUAUUUCCGAGUGACGCCGGUUUGCCGAACGCUUGGUGAGCUGCCUCUGAGACAUUGCAAGAGACGCAAAUGAGUAGCAGUUGUCAGUUUAUAUCGCCGAGCUAAACUCGCCUGCAGCUAUCACCACGGGCCACUAGAGUGAUGCAGCGACCAUUUGGCGACCAGCCAGCGUUCUUAUAGAAGCCGUCUGCUGGAACACUACACGAGGUUUCGGUAUGAUUCAACUCCAAUUGCAAGACGGGUUGUGAUGAGGCCGACCUUCAACACAUGCCACGAGACCUCUCCCCCGCUUUCCCCGACCUCCGUAGAAGCAACAGGCUGUGUAAAGACCUCACCUGGACCUAUAGCGUUGGCCCAACCCAUCGAUGCGCGUGCGAUCGAGGACUGCGAGAGAUACGACCACCGUUUUCACUACAGGCGGUCUGAACUCGACAACCUCCCGGCGUUCACCAGGAAGGGCGGUGUUGAUCGAAGUCCUUAGCCCUAUGAUCGCAGCCAAGGAGGGGUAGCGAUCAUGCAGGCGAGGCAGCGGUGCUCUGUGGAUUGGAAAUGUCAUGAAAAACUCCUCUCCCACAACGGCGUCUUGUAGAGGACGUGUCCCACUUUCGUAUGGCGCAGCUGCACUGAAGCCGGAAAGGUAAAUUUUGCGUUCUUUAGUUAUUCACC